CUUACUUAGGAGAGGACAGCAGAAGCUUCCCAGCUCCAAGUUAAAUCCUGGGUUAGACAUUUCUUUGCUGUUUAUGGCAGUGAAGACCUGUGUGGCUGCUGGAGCUGCAGGAAGCAGAGAAAACUUGUCAUAUUUUUAGCAGCCACCGAGAAUAGCAAAGAGCUGCUGUGACUCACAUAGGAAAAUGCCGUGUCCUGACGCCCCUCGUGCUGGAGGUGUACAGCUGAGAACUGUGACUCCUGGCCCAGCAGUGAGCUGCCAGCCAGGCUCCAUCCACAGCAGUGAGCAACAGGUGGCUGUUCCCUGUUUAUCCCCUUAAUUAGGAUAUGGGUAGCAUUAAAAAUAAUGCACUCGAUAUUAAUUUAAUUAAUAUAAUAAUAAGGGAUGUUUCAAUCUCAGGCUCGCUGUGGGGAGUCAUCAGUGUGAGGAUACACGUUAAAAACAAAUUUAAAGUCACUGAAGAAUUGUACAGCCCUGCCUUUUCAGAGCCUUUGACCUUAGAAGUGCUUUAGCUUGCUCCUUCCUUAUAGCCCGUGUAGAUUUUUGCGUUACACCCCACUUGGCAAACACGAAUUGCAGGAAGUCAGGUGCCACAGGGAACAGCAGCACUGUGUGCGGGUGUCGGAGCUGCGCCCCGCGCCUCAGGGAAGAGAAGAGCAGUGCUCGAAGGGCUGGGGGGACCCAGAGCCUCAGUUUUCCUCUUCCAGCACAGGGGAAGAAGUGUUUGGCUCCCACACGGAGUGCUGACACGCUUAAUUCAAUCUGACUUGCAAAGUGCAUCGUGGGCCUUAGGGAAAAGGUGCUGUAGAAGCCACAGAAUAUUUUCCUGCUCUCCCUGGCAGGACGGCACUCAGCGUUAUGGAUGGUCCUGCUGCCAUGCAUCUCCCUCUGGCUGACAGUGGGAGCAGUUCGUGUAUAUAAAGCUAAGGGGACCGCUUAGAAGGCUUUUGCUCUAAAUAAUCUGCUAACACUUGUGAUGGAUCGAAAGCUGAAAGGCUGAGAAGUCACUGUUUUCAGAGGGUUUUACAGCAGAAAUGUGCACGUGUGGCUUGGGAGCCGUACAGGAAAAGAGCUGGCUCCCAAGCAGUGUAUUUUCUUUACUCCUCCUUCUAUUUCACAGCCCCCGUUAUUCAUUUUUCAGUUUUACUGUUCGUUUAUAAUUUAGCCAGCUGUUCUUUAACACUGUUCUCUUAUUUCAGGUUUUCUUGAUUGGAUCGGAAAGAAUGCAGACCCAGCCUGGGGCAGAGGGAGCGGGGUGGCCAGAGCCCAUGGCACAGCCUGCACACAGUGGGGUUAGCAGGCGCCUGUUUGGGGGAAACCCAGCUUAUAAUUUAAACAAACAAGCCUGUAAUUCUGAUUCUGCAUUUAUAAUUUGUGGAAAAUGCUCUCCAGAAUAGCAUCCAGUGCAGCACAGCCACUGGCAGCCCAGCAGCCGACAGUGAUGCCCCAAAUCUUUUCAGUGCGUUGAAAUAGAAGUGUAUUCCUGCCUACUCCUUAGCCAAAAUGACGGUGUUGCUUCAGUCUCACCAGACUGGAAAUCAUACAGGCACAUUGUAUGGAAAACAAACGAUUGUAAAUAUGCAGCCCUUCACCAGCAGUUACAACAGGUCCUUCCUCCCUGCCUGGAUUUCUGCACUCUGUAUUCUGACUUAACUCAAUGGUUUCUCUUAUGUUUUGCUUUCUUUCAAUGGCAAGCGAUGCUUAAAAUACCACAGGGUCAGCAUCUUCAGUCAGAACUGCUCCUCUGGCGUUGUUAGUGUUUGCUGUGUACUUCAUCUGCCAUUUCUGAGGAUGAAAAUAAGUCUUAAACAUCUUGAGUAGCUGACAAGGGUACAACCACUCGUGGAAUAACAUUUUUUCUAUGCCUGCUGCAAGCGCCACACAGAGGAGCCUCAUUGCUCUGCAGAGACUGUGCCAUGAAAAACAAACACUGACACCCAAACUCUUCCAGCAGAUGAAGGCAGGUGUGCCCAAGAGACCGGCUGGCUCCCAUUUGCACUACCAGCUGCUGCCAUAUCGGUGCAGUGGAGCCACGUGGAACUGGGGCUUGGAGCUGUGGCCAGGUAAGGCUUUCAGCGCUGGGUGUGCAGGGGGAGGCUGCUACCAGUCUGGGAGGUGCUGCGGUGCAAAAAGGCACCUUGAGGGGAAUGCACUGCUGGAAUGUGGACACACAUAGGAGUUGUGUGGGGCUGGGGUGGUGUGUGUACUGCUGGGGUGAGUUCUCACUGCAGCAAGGCUUGAGUUAGAACGGUCCCAAGGAUGCUGCCACUUGCAGGCUUUGGAUGUGUCCUCUCCCAUCUUUGCCCUCAGUCCCCUUCACAAGUGAUAUGCCUAUUUAUUUAAAGGGAAAGAAAAAAGAUCGCAAGUCCUGAUAUGACAUUUUUCUUUGCCAAGUGAAAUGCUGAAAGCAUUAAAUGUGUGGAGUGAGGGA
ensembl:lncRNA